rnacentral:rRNA from 1 species
UACGUAGGGGCCAAGCGUUGUCCGGAAUUAUUGGGCGUAAAGAGCUCGUAGGCGGUUCGGUAAGUCGACUGUGAAAUCUCCACGCUCAACGUGGAGAGGUCAGUUGAUACUGCCGUGACUAGAGUCCGGUAGAGGAGUGUGGAAUUCCCGGUGUAGCGGUGAAAUGCGCAGAGAUCGGGAGGAACACCCGUAGCGAAGGCGGCACUCUGGGCCGUGACUGACGCUGAGGAGCGAAAGCGUGGGGAGCAAACAGGAUUAGAUACCCUGGUAGUCCACGCCGUAAACGUUGGGCACUAGGUGUGGGACUCUAUCGACGGGUUCCGUGCCGUAGCUAACGCAUUAAGUGCCCCGCCUGGGGAGUACGGCCGCAAGGCUAAA